rnacentral:rRNA from 1 species
UACGGAGGGAGCAAGCGUUAUUCGGAAUUAUUGGGCGUAAAGAGCUCGUAGGCGGUCUGUCGCGUCGGACGUGAAAACCCAGGGCUCAACCCUGGGCCUGCGUUCGAUACGGGCAGACUAGAGUUCGGUAGGGGAGACUGGAAUUCCUGGUGUAGCGGUGAAAUGCGCAGAUAUCAGGAGGAACACCGGUGGCGAAGGCGGGUCUCUGGGCCGAAACUGACGCUGAGGAGCGAAAGCGUGGGGAGCGAACAGG